GAUGAACGCUGGCGGCGUGCCUAAUACAUGCAAGUCGAGCGAACAGACGAGGAGCUUGCUCCUCUGACGUUAGCGGCGGACGGGUGAGUAACACGUGGAUAACCUACCUAUAAGACUGGGAUAACUUCGGGAAACCGGAGCUAAUACCGGAUAAUAUAUUGAACCGCAUGGUUCAAUAGUGAAAGACGGUUUUGCUGUCACUUAUAGAUGGAUUCGCGCCGCAUUAGCUAGUUGGUAAGGUAACGGCUUACCUAGGCGACGAUGCGUAGCCGACCUGAGAGGGUGAUCGGCCACACUGGAACUGAGACACGGUCCAGACUCCUACGGGAGGCAGCAGUAGGGAAUCUUCCGCAAUGGGCGAAAGCCUGACGGAGCAACGCCGCGUGAGUGAUGAAGGUCUUCGGAUCGUAAAACUCUGUUAUUAGGGAAGAACAAAUGUGUAAGUAACUAUGCACGUCUUGACGGUACCUAAUCAGAAAGCCACGGCUAACUACGUG
rnacentral:rRNA from 1 species